rnacentral:rRNA from 1 species
CCUACGGGUGGCAGCAGUGGGGAAUAUUGGGCAAUGAGCGCAAGCCUGACCCAGCAACGCCGCGUGAAGGAAGAAGGCUUUCGGGUUGUAAACUUCUUUUAAGAGGGAAGAGCAGAAGACGGUACCUCUUGUAUAAGCCACGGCUAACUACGUGCCAGCAGCCGAGGUAAUACGUGGGGUGCGAGCGUUAAUCGGAAUUACUGGGCGUAAAUCUCUCGUAGUCGUUAUGUCAAGUCAAGGGUGAAAUCCCCGCGCUAAAAGUGGGACCUGCCUUUGAAACUAGCAAACGAGAGUGUGAUAGAGGAUAGCGGAAUUCCAGGUGAAGGAGUGAAAUGCGUAGAUAUAUGGAAGAACACCAGUGGCGAAGGCGACUAUCUGGCUCAUAACUGACGCUGAGGGGCGAAAGCGUGGGUAGCAAACAGGAUUAGAUACCCGGGUAGUC